UCUCAGUCUUGAUUUUGACGCGCUCUCGGUAACAACAAUCGCAAACUGUGGUCGGACGGUCUGGUUCGUUCGCGCGUUGGAUACCAAUUUUCUGCAAAUUGAUUCAGAUGCUGGCUGGCUGGUUGGCAAUGGCCAACAGAUUUUAGAAUUUAUUAUUUUUUUUCUUUUUUGUUUACCAAACAAACGAGAGUGAAAAUAUCCCAUUAACAAAAAUAUAUUAAAAGAAAAAAUAUAUCUACACCUACCUACAUUUUAUGCGUCCGAAAAUACUUGCGUGACCGUGCUUUCGCGUGUGUUCACAGUUAGUAGUAUUGCCGAACGAAUAUAUUUUUGCAAGUUCAUUAUAUUUUGUGAAAUAAAAAAAAAGAAGAAUACAUUAAUAUACACAUGGAUAUGUAGGCAGGUGCCUAUAUCGAAAGAAAAAAUUAAUUAUUCCAGUGAAAUUGUGCGCUCCCUCGGGCAUUUGUUCAGUUUUCUGUGGUCUUCUUGCAGCCAAUUAACGAAAAAUUACGAAAUCAGUUACAGUGAUUUGAUUUUGGUAUUUUCAAGUUUAUUAUGCUGCCGUUUACAACUGACAUCUGAACCCCAGUCAAAGUACAAACAGAGAAAAUCAGCAGAGCGACGACUCACUCCUCAACAGUUUGUCUGUCAAGGCAGACCAGAAAUAAGAAAAGCAGCAGCUGUUAAAUUGAUUUGAUGCAUUCCGCAAAAUAAGUUAAAUCCUUUAACUAAACGUUCCACUGAACACGAUGCUAGUCCAAUAGUUAAUAAUCACCAAAAAACCAACACAACAAUUCUCCUUGAUCCGUAAAGAAGGAAGUAUCGAAGAUGUUAAUUAAGGAAUACCACAUACCUUUGCCACUUACUGUGGACGAAUAUCGCAUAGCCCAGUUGUAUAUGAUAGCGAAAAAAAGUCGAGAAGAAAGUCAUGGCGAAGGCAGCGGAGUGGAAAUUAUUAUUAAUGAACCGUAUGACGAUGGACCCGGAGGAAAGGGUCAGUAUACGAAGAAAAUCUAUCAUGUUGGCAGUCAUUUACCCGGCUGGAUAAAAAGUUUAUUACCAAAAAGCGCUUUAACAGUUGAAGAAGAGGCAUGGAAUGCUUAUCCAUAUACUCGAACCCGCUACACUUGUCCCUUCGUGGAAAAAUUCAUGCUUGAUAUUGAGACAUACUAUUUUCCCGACAACGGCUACCAGGAAAAUGUUUUCAAAUUGAGUAGCAGCGAACUGAGGAAUCGCGUUAUCGAUACGAUUGAUAUUGUUAAGGAUCAACUAACCGGUGGAGAUUACGUUAAGGAAGAAGAUCCCAAGUUAUUUGUAUCGGAAAAAACCGGAAGGGGUCCUUUGCAAGAUGAUUGGCUAGAGAAAUAUUGGCGCGAAGUAAAAGGCAAAAAGCAGCCCACUGCCAGAAAUAUGUCCUUGAUGUGCGCCUACAAAAUAUGUCGAGUGGAGUUCCGCUACUGGGGUAUGCAGACCAAACUGGAAAAGUUCAUUCACGAUGUCGCGCUGCGAAAAACAAUGGUCCGUGCCCAUCGCCAAGCAUGGGCAUGGCAAGAUGAAUGGCACGGUUUGACAAUUGAAGACAUCAGAGAAAUAGAACGGCAAACUCAAUUGGCAUUGGCCAGGAAAAUGGGAGGUGGCGAUGUCAGUGGUGAAGAAGAGGAAGAGGAGGAGGAAGAAGAAGAAAGCAUUUCCGAAACGCAACCUCCGAAAACAGUUGAACCUCCUCUACGCGAGGAUCGCCAGAAUAAAGAGCCUCCCGUCGUAACACAGCAACCACCUAGUGAAGAAGUUUCAUCAGACGAUGAGGGACAGCAAGAACAAAAUAACUCAAGUGAACGAUCUCGCUCCCAAAGUAUACAAAUGGCAACAAAAUCAAAAUAUGGUUCAAAGCCAGGUGGCCUCCAUUCGCCACUGGGAUCUGCCCAAAGUUUUGAAUUGCAACCGCAUGCCAAAAAUGCUAAACACAAAAAUGUAGCGAAUUGGCGUAUGGAACGUUUGGAAGUUGAUUCGAAAUCAAACUCAGAUGAAGAAUUCUUCGAUUGCGUAGAUACAAAUGAAACCAACUCCCUGGCAAAAUGGAGUUCCUUGGAAAUUCUGGGUGAAACUGACGACAGUCCGCCCCCUCACAGUGGAAUACCUGGGAAGAAUAACAAAGAUGAUAGUAUUUUUAAUCAGGACUUUUUGAUGCGUGUGGCUUCGGAAAGAGGGAAUAAACGACAAUUGAGAUCUUCGGCUAGUUUAGAAAGGGGAGGUCAUGAUGGAUCACCGCCGGGCUCUCCAGGAACACCUUCGUGUUCCACAACAAUACUCAUUAUGGUGGUACAUGCCGGAAGUGUUCUGGAUGCCACCAGUGAAUUAACUUCCAAAAAAUCAGAUGUAACUACUUUCCGCGGAGCCUUCGAGUCCGUGAUGCGCCAACAUUAUCCGAGCCUUUUAAGUCAUGUUACCAUUAAAAUGGUUCCUUGUCCAUCCAUUUGUACCGACGCCCUGGGCAUACUCUCAAGUUUAAGUCCGUACUCGUUUGAUGCCUCCCCUUCUGCGGAUAUACCCAAUAUAGCCGAUGUUCCUAUAGGAGCCAUUCCAUUGCUCUCUGUUUCUUCGCCGGAAUUCCAAGAUACGGUCAAUAAAACUGUGGUUGCUGCCAAUAUUGUCUACCAAGAAUUCCUAAAAUCCGAGGAAGGCCAUGGGUUUUCUGGUCAAGUGGUAAUGCUGGGCGAUUCGAUGGGUUCGCUUUUGGCCUACGAAGCUUUGUGUCGUGGUUCAUCCAACGACGGUGGCAGUCGUUCAUCGCGUACUACCGAUGACGACGAACGUUUCGAUGACAGUGAUAUGGAUGCAAAACGACUAUUGGUUGCACCGUCUCCUCGCCGACGGCGUUCGUCUUCUUCAAGUGAUUCCAAAAACUCGAAAUUAGAGUUUGAGGUUAGUGACUUCUUCAUGUUUGGCUCACCAUUGUCCAUUGUUUUGGCAGCUAAAAAACUACAUGAUUCUAAAACAGCAUUGCAGCGACCCAAUUGCCAUCAAGUUUACAAUUUAUUCCAUCCAACCGAUCCGACAGCUUCCCGUCUGGAACCUUUGCUAAGCGCAAGAUUUUCAAUGUUGGCUCCAGUCAAUGUACCACGAUAUGCCAAAUACCCCCUGGGAAAUGGACAACCAUUGCAUUUAUUGGAGGUUAUACAAUCUCAUCCCCAUCACUUCAGCGAAGGUCAUAAUCUAUUGGGCGGCCGUCGUCUAUCGGAUGCUUCCAUGCAAAGUACAGUAUCGGGUCUAAUAGAAAAUAUAUCUCUAAGUACCAUUAAUACAAUACAAAUGAAAUGGUGGGGAACCAAACGUCUAGACUAUGCUCUCUACUGCCCUGAAGGAUUGAGCAAUUUCCCGGCCAAUGCAUUGCCUCAUUUGUUCCAUGCAAGCUAUUGGGAGAGUGCAGAUGUCAUAGCUUUUAUUUUGAGACAGAUUGGCAAGUUUGAAGGCAUUCCAUAUGUUAGCUCGUCAGACACCAAGGAGAGCGUUCAGUUCAACCCAGGCCAGCCAUGUGAAAAAUGGAUACGGAAGAGGACAUCCGUCAAACUAAAGAACGUUGCUGCCAAUCAUCGGGCGAACGACGUUAUAGUACUGGAUGGACGUGAAAAACGCAUAAAUGCUCGAUUUAUGUAUGGACCAUUGGAUAUGAUCACAUUGCAUGGUGAAAAGGUCGAUGUACACAUUAUGAAAGAUCCGCCUGCUGGCGAGUGGACUUAUUUAAGUACUGAAGUCACAGAUAAGACUGGUCGCAUUUCCUACACAAUUCCCGAUGACGUCACUCGUGGUUAUGGCAUUUAUCCCGUUAAGAUGGUUGUAAGGGGCGAUCACACAUCGGUGGAUUGUUAUUUGGCUGUUGUACCACCCCUAACGGAAUGUGUGGUGUUCAGUAUAGACGGUUCCUUUACAGCUUCCGUUUCAGUUACCGGUCGCGAUCCAAAGGUACGAGCUGGUGCGGUGGAUGUGUGCCGCCACUGGCAGGAACAUGGUUAUUUGCUAAUUUAUAUGACCGGUAGACCGGAUAUGCAGCAGCAACGUGUUGUUUCCUGGCUAAGCCAACACAAUUUUCCCCAUGGUCUGAUAUCAUUUGCCGAUGGACUAACCACUGAUCCGCUCGGUCAUAAGACAGCCUAUUUAAAUAAUUUAGUUCAAAAUCACGGAAUCUCUAUAAUGGCAGCUUACGGCAGUAGUAAAGAUAUUAGUGUUUAUACUAAUGUGGGUUUACGAAUGGAUCAAAUAUUCAUUGUGGGAAAGGUUAGCAAAAAACUACAAACUAAUGCUACGGUCCUAAAUGAUGGCUAUGCUGCUCAUUUGGCCGCCUUGCAAGCAGUUGGUGGAUCUCGACCUGCAAAGGGCAAUGCUCGUAUGGUUAUACCUCGUGGCUGUUUCAAUUUGCCGGGGCAAACGGCAAACCCCCGACGUAGAAGGCUGCAUGAGCAACAGGACGCUUAGAUCUGCAACUAAUGGUGCUGUAACGAACGAACAAGGACUCUGAAGUUGUUGUUUUCGUUGUCGUUGUUGGACACACCUUAUCGCGAACACAGCAAACGAACAAUCACAGAAAACAAACAAACAAUUAUGAAGAAUUAGUAUUUAAUGAAUGUUGUGUUACAACCUUGUAGAGAAAACCUUGCAUUUCACCUUACCAAACAGUUGAUAUUCCAAGAAUUUAUAAUCAUUUACUUUGUAUUGUAUCUAUACUCUCACCACAAACCCACCAACAUCCCCACGAACCAAAUGACGUCGUCAAUGAACCAACCAAACGUUACCCUACCAAUCAGCAACGAGACCGGUCUGUCGUCGCCAAUACGCAGUGGCUAUUUAAAACGCAAGACCUAUUUUGGUCACCAAAAUUAAUCUUCCUGGCAUAGUCUGCAGCAUCGCCCAGCGCGUGUCGAAUUGCCAAAAGCUAUCCGUGGCGCCUCCAAUCCAUUCAAUUAGCAGUUAGCCCACUCAUCAUCCUCGAUAGCGCCUCAUCAAAUGUGAAAUCUGUAAACAAUACAACGCGGACAACAUAUGUAGAUGCUGUAUAGUGAGGUCCGUCUUCAUAUUGAUUACAACAUACGUACACAUAUGCAAUAAACCUAAAUGUAUAUCUUAUUAUACCUCCUACAAUCAAUAGACAGAAGUAAUUUGCCAGAGCAAACAGAAACGUUUAAUCUAACCUCUACCUACCACCUACUACCAGCAGCAUAACCACAUAAAAGUGCUUAAGCAAACACAUAGCUGAGGAUUUAGAAGUGCGUCAGUGCGUUCAAACAAUUAAUAUAAUCAAUCAUUACUCAAAAUUAGAUUUAAAACUAAACAAACAAACCAAAAGACGUCUAAUAUAAGUCACGCAGUACCUGGCUAGAAAGACUGUAUCCUCCUGUUGUAUGAUGGUAUUACAAACUACAUAAAAUCCUCCAAGAAUAACAAACAUACAUAAAUACAUAUAUCAUAAAUAAUCACAUAUAGAUAAAUAUACACUAAAACACUAAACUUAUGGUAAAGGCAUUCAAAAUAUGACACAACUGGAGCCUAAUAUUGCAAAAGAAUUCAAACUUCAAUGGAAACAUUACAUGCUCGUUCACAAUCCAUCCCCUCAAAGUAUUUAGUGGAUAUAUAUGUAAAAACAUCUGCAAGGAUUUAAUCUGGCUGCGGCAACAUAACAACACACUAUUACCACUAUAAACUAAGUGCAUAACGGUACAUUUCGGACGGAAACGAUAUUGAUGUACGGUAGUAUUAUUAUUUCCUGUUCCCUGAUAUUUUAUUAAUUACAUACAUGCAUAUAUUUAUAAUUAUACAUAACAAAACACGAAUAGCUAUUGUUAUUUAUUUAUCAAUCAACAACCAUAAACAGAAAAAAAACUUAGGAAUUCAUUGGAUACUCUCGGUUGAGUGGGAAUGUUUUAGAUUUAGUCACCUAUUCAUUGAAACUCAGACAUACUACCAUACAUAUAAUUAUAAUUAUAUACGCAUCCUAUUUUACAUGUAGACAUACAUACAUAGAUUGUAAUGCUAUCCUUGCCUGUAAAAUAUUAAAUUGUUGUUACUGAAUAUCAAUAUUAUUGUAAUUGUAAAUUAAAGUUAACUUUGGCCAGUAGUAAAAUUCAUUGUGUACUAUGUAUAUUUGCAAAGAUUUCAAUAUAUAUCUUUGCCAGAAAAUGUUUUUUUUUUUUUUGUCUCAAAUGUCUGCUUCUGGGAGUUGAACAAACGUUUCAUAGUUCGUUUUACUUAAACUGAUUCGUAAAACAUUUCAAAAAAAUGAAUAUAAAAUUGAAUAUUGACUGUGUUUUCGUUUCAGUCUCCAAGUCAUGAAAAUAUAAACAUUUCGAAUUGCAUAAUAUAUAAAACUAUUAUCCGAUUGAAACAAAUAUGCAUUGAAAAUUAAUUGACAUUGAUUUCAUCUCUUAUCUAAACUGAUUAAAUCGAAAAAAAAAAAAAAUAUUUAAUACCUUCGUAUUGAUUGUCCAAUUUUGACUACAUAGAUGUCUUGAUGUUUUGAAAGUACCACACUACUCAAAUUAAAACAAUUUAAAACGUAACCCAAAUUUUUGCUUUAACUGCCGAUUGUGUUUUUUAUUUACGUUACUUAAGAUUUUUGUGAUAAUUUAAAAAUUAGAUAUAAACUUUAAAAAAAUUUGAGUAUGACUCUCUGCUUUAAUAAGGUCUAAUAUUUAUGAAAAAUGUUUACAUUUGAGACUAUCCUCUAUUUGAAUGUUUUCAAAUUUAAAAGUUUCUACUUUACUUAAGUUUUUUGUCAUAAUUAUUAAAAUUGGACGUAUACAAAAAAUAUUUUGAGUAUGACUCUGUGCGAUUAGUAAGAUCUAAAACUUUUGAAAUAUAUAGACUAUGUUCAAUUUACCUGUGAAAGUUAUCAAAUCUUUGAAACGUUUUAUAUGUAACAAUAAUGAAAAUCAGAAUUAAAAUAAUCUUACGCUUUAUUCAUUGGAACUCAUCCUCUUUUUCAAAAACCUUAUACGGUACAUAAAAAGUUUUAUUCUUAAUCGAUAGUUGAAUUCAAUCAGAUCCUCAAUUUGAUCUUAGAGAAAACUUGUAUAUCAUGAAAGGGGAAUGUUUCCUUUAACAUUUAUCUGAAUAUUUAGAUAUAACUUUGCAAAUAUUCCACGUACACAACACAAAUAAGUAAGUCCCCUAAUCAUAAAUACCUACCUGUACUAUUAAAUAACAACGUACACAGUCUUGUCCCACCAUUACCUGAAUUAAACAUGGUAAAAAUAGUACAACUCAUAAAAACUUAUUUCGAAGAGAACAAAUAGUUUAUAUAAAAAUACAAUAUUUUUGGAAGCCACCAAGAAAAAAUCAUCACACAAGAGAUCAAUUUUUAAGAAGAGAAACUAAUAACUACACAAUAAAUGGUAAAAACAAAACGUAAUUUUGAUGUGAUUUUUUGAAAACAAAAAAGAAAUAAACAAAUAAAAAACGAACUAUAUUUCUAAAAUAUGCGUAUUUACAAAAGAUUAAAAAAGAACAAGCAAAUAACUCCAUAUAACUGAUCAACAAUUUAUUAGAAAAACAAAAAACAUAUAUUUUCUUGAUAUGAUAUUAACUAAAAGCCCGGCAAACAUACAUAAAAUGCGAAUAUUUACUAAACUCUAUUCAAUUAUGCAAAAGAAAAUGAAAUUGUAUUUAAUAAUUUUAAGCUUAUUUAUUGGCGUUGUUGGCAAGGGCCGAUUUAUAAAAUGAAGCAAAAAAAUGAAAACACAUUCUUUAAAAACGCAAUAAGAAACAAAACAACCAAAAGUAAAUUUUAAUCAGAUCAUAGUUUGGAAAACAACUUCAAUAAUUCUGUCUUAAGAAGAGAAUGGAUUAUGUAUCAGUUUUAAGCUGAAAUAAAAUUGAAAUUAAAACAUCUUGUUAUUUAGCGAA